rnacentral:rRNA from 1 species
AGAGUUUGAUCAUGGCUCAGGAUGAACGCUGGCAGCGUCCCUUAAUACAUGCAAGUCGAGCGAACCAACUUCGGUGGUGAGCGGCGAACGGGUGAGUAACACGUAGGUGAUCUGCCCAUCAGGCGGGGACAACGAUUGGAAACGAUCGCUAAUACCCGGAUAGGACGAAAAUUUAAAGGUGCUUCUGGCACCGCUGAUGGAUGAGCCUGCGGCGCAUUAGCUAGUUGGUAGGGUAAAGGCCUACCAAGGCGACGAUGCGUAGCCGACCUGAGAGGGUGAACGGCCACACUGGGACUGAGACACGGCCCAGACUCCUACGGGAGGCAGCAGUAGGGAAUCUUCGGCAAUGGGCGAAAGCCUGACCGAGCAACGCCGCGUGAAUGAUGAAGGCCUUCGGGUUGUAAAAUUCUGUUAUAAGGGAAGAACGACUUUAGUAGGAAAUGGCUAGAGUGUGACGGUACCUUAUGAGAAAGCCACGGCUAACUACGUGCCAGCAGCCGCGGUAAUACGUAGGUGGCGAGCGUUAUCCGGAAUUAUUGGGCGUAAAGAGCGCGCAGGUGGUUGAUUAAGUCUGAUGUGAAAGCCCACGGCUUAACCGUGGAGGGUCAUUGGAAACUGGUCGACUUGAGUGCAGAAGAGGGAAGUGGAAUUCCAUGUGUAGCGGUGAAAUGCGUAGAGAUAUGGAGGAACACCAGUGGCGAAGGCGGCUUCCUGGUCUGUAACUGACACUGAGGCGCGAAAGCGUGGGGAGCAAACAGGAUUAGAUACCCUGGUAGUCCACGCCGUAAACGAUGAGUGCUAAGUGUUGGGGGUCGAACCUCAAUGCUGAAGUUAACGCAUUAAGCACUCCGCCUGGGGAGUUCGUCACAAGACUGAAACUCAAAGGAAUUGACGG